GACGAACCGUACGAACGUUAUUCGGAAUUACUGGGCUUAAAGGGUGCGUAGGCUGCACGGAAAGUUGGGUGUGAAAGCCCUCAGCUCAACUGAGGAAUUGCAUCCAAAACUGCCGUGCUUGAGGGAGACAGAGGUGAGCGGAACUCAAGGUGGAGCGGUGAAAUGCGUUGAUAUCUUGAGGAACACCGGUGGCGAAAGCGGCUCACUGGGUCUCUUCUGACGCUGAGGCACGAAAGCUAAGGUAGCAAACGGG
rnacentral:rRNA from 1 species